GCAAGUCGAACGGUAGGAAAUCUUCGGAUUUCUGAGAGUGGCGAACGGGUGAGUAACACGUAGAUGAUCUACCUUUUAGUUGGGGAUAGCCCAUGGAAACAUGGAGUAAUACCGAAUAAUCUCUUAAAGCUUUAGUUUUUUGAGGAAAGCAGCGUUUGCUGUGCCGAAAGAUGAGUCUGCGCACUAUUAGCUAGUUGGUGGGGUAAGAGCCUACCAAGGCGACGAUAGUUAGCCGACCUGAGAGGGUGAUC
rnacentral:rRNA from 1 species